UUCAUAUUGACAGCAUUAUGUUAUUUAUAGUUUAAGUGUUGUGUUUAUCUCUGGAUAUAGGCUUAAUGUGUGUCAUUGUUCUCUUCAGGUUGAGGAAGUGUAAAGUCACAGAUGAAGGUUGUGUUGCUCUGGCUUCAGCUCUGAUAUUAAACCCCUCACACCUGAGACAUCUGGAUCUGUCAGAUAAUAAACUAGGAGACUCAGGAGUGAAGCAGCUGAAGGAUCUGAGGGAUGAUCCACAUUAUAAACUGGAGAAACUGGGGUUAUAGAUGACAGUCUGAUGUUCCGCUGAUCAUCUGAUGGUGAAUAAGGAUCCACUACAGAGACUCACAGUCAACAGAAUCAACAGAGACUGAAGAUACAGUGACUUCACUGUUAGAAAUUAAGACUUCAUUUAGAUUUCAACCAUCCUCUGACAGACCUGAUGAGGCGGCAGUGAAACACCUUUUAUUUCACAGCAAAUUACACUUUCUCAUUCAUAGAUUAACCAUUUUAUUUGUAUAA